UACGUAGGGUGCAAGCGUUAAUCGGAAUUACUGGGCGUAAAGCGUGCGCAGGCGGUUUUGUAAGUCUGUCGUGAAAGCCCCGGGCUCAACCUGGGAAUUGCGAUGGAGACUGCAAGGCUUGAACCUGGCAGAGGGGGGUAGAAUUCCACGUGUAGCAGUGAAAUGCGUAGAGAUGUGGAGGAACACCGAUGGCGAAGGCAGCCCCCUGGGUCAAGAUUGACGCUCAUGCACGAAAGCGUGGGGAGCAAACAGG
rnacentral:rRNA from 1 species